rnacentral:rRNA from 1 species
GAUGAACGCUGGCGGCGUGCCUAAUACAUGCAAGUCGAGCGAACAGACGAGGAGCUUGCUCCUCUGACGUUAGCGGCGGACGUGUGAGUAACACGUGGAUACCGACCGAUAAGGCGGGGAAAACUUUGGGAAAGCGGGGCAAAAACCCGUAAAAGUAUUUAAACCCUGGGAUUCAUUUGGAAAGUGGGUUUUGGUGUCAACUAUAGGUGGAUGCGCGCCGCAUUAGCUAGUUGGUAAGGUAACGGCUUACCAAGGCAACGAUGCGUAGCCGACCUGAGAGGGUGAGCGGCCACACUGGAACUGAGACACGGUCCAGACUCCUACGGGAGGCAGCAGUAGGGAAUCUUCCGCAAUGGGCGAAAGCCUGACGGAGCAACGCCGCGUGAGUGAUGAAGGUCGUCGGAUCGUAAAACUCUGUUAUUAGGGAAGAACAAAUGUGUAAGUAACUAUGCACGUCUUGACGGUAACUAAUCAGAAAGCCACGGCUAACUACGUGC